CCUACGGGUGGCAGCAGUGAGGAAUAUUGGUCAAUGGCCGAGAGUCUGAACCAGCCAAGUCGCGUGAGGGAUGAAUGUCCUAUGGAUUGUAAACCUCUUUUGGCAGGGAGCAAAAUCACCCACGUGUGGGUGUUGGAGAAUACCUGAAGAGAAAGCAUCGGCUAACUCCGUGCCAGCAGCCGCGGUAAUACGGAGGAUGCGAGCGUUAUCCGGAUUUCUUGGGUUUAAAGGGUGCGUAGACGGUUUAUCAAUUCUGCGGUAAAAUCGUGGAGCUCAACUCCAUCCAGCCGUUGAAACUGAUGAUCUUGAGUGGGCGAGAAGGAUGCGGAAUGCGUGGUGUAGCGGUGAAAUGCAUAGAUAUCACGCAGAACGCCGAUCGCGAAGGCAGCAUACCGGAGUGCGACUGACGCUGAAGCACGAAAGCGUGGGUAUCGAACAGGAUUAGAUACCCUGGUAGUC
rnacentral:rRNA from 1 species